rnacentral:rRNA from 1 species
GACGAACGCUGGCGGCGUGCCUAAUACAUGCAAGUUGAGCGCUGAAGGUUGGUACUUGUACCAACUGGAUGAGCAGCGAACGGGUGAGUAACGCGUGGGGAAUCUGCCUUUGAGCGGGGGACAACAUUUGGAAACGAAUGCUAAUACCGCAUAAAAACUUUAAACACAAGUUUUAAGUUUGAAAGAUGCAAUUGCAUCACUCAAAGAUGAUCCCGCGUUGUAUUAGCUAGUUGGUGAGGUAAAGGCUCACCAAGGCGAUGAUACAUAGCCGACCUGAGAGGGUGAUCGGCCACAUUGGGACUGAGACACGGCCCAAACUCCUACGGGAGGCAGCAGUAGGGAAUCUUCGGCAAUGGACGGAAGUCUGACCGAGCAACGCCGCGUGAGUGAAGAAGGUUUUCGGAUCGUAAAACUCGGUUGGUAGAGAAGAACGUUGGUGAGAGUGGAAAGCUCAUCAAGUGACGGUAACUACCCAGAAAGGGACGGCUAACUACGUG